GAUGAACGCUGGCGGCGUGCCUAAUACAUGCAAGUCGAGCGAACGGACGAGAAGCUUGCUUUUCUGAUGUUAGCGGCGGACGGGUGAGUAACACGUGGAUAACCUACCUAUAAGACUGGGAUAACUUCGGGAAACCGGAGCUAAUACCGGAUAAUAUUUUGAACCGCAUGGUUCAAAAGUGAAAGACGGUCUUGCUGUCACUUAUAGAUGGAUCCGCGCUGCAUUAGCUAGUUGGUAAGGUAACGGCUUACCAAGGCAACGAUGCAUAGCCGACCUGAGAGGGUGAUCGGCCACACUGGAACUGAGACACGGUCCAGACUCCUACGGGAGGCAGCAGUAGGGAAUCUUCCGAGAAGGGCGAAAGCCUGACGGAGCAACGCCGCGUGAGUGAUGAAGGUCUUCGGAUCGUAAAACUCUGUUAUUAGGGAAGAACAUAUGUGUAAGUAACUGUGCACAUCUUGACGGUACCUAAUCAGAAAGCCACGGCUAACUACGUG
rnacentral:rRNA from 1 species